rnacentral:misc_RNA from 1 species
AGUAUUAUCAGCUUGCGUUGAUUACGUCUCUGCCCUUUGUACACACCGCCCGUCGCUACUACCGAUUGAAUGGCUUAGUGAGGUCUUCGGAUCGGCGAUCGGUGAGUAGCAAUAUUCGCUGGUUGCUGAGAAGUUGAUCAAACUUGGUCAUUUAGAGGAAGUAAAAGUCGUAACAAGGUUUCCGUAGGUGAACCUGCGGAAGGAUCAUUAUAAAAUUUUCAUAUAUUAUUCAUUUAAUAUAUAAAAUUGUAUACAAAAUGUAUUCAAAACCCACACUCUUUAUAACCAUAAAAAAAAUUAUAUUAUUUAUAAUAUAAAAAUAAAAACAACUUUCAACAACGGAUCUCUUGGCUCUCGCAUCGAUGAAGAACGCAGCGAAUUGCGAUAAGUAAUGUGAAUUGCAGAAUUACGUGAAUCAUCGAAUCUUUGAACGCAUAUUGCACUCUCUGGUAAUCCGGGGAGUAUGCCUGUUUGAGGGUCAGUAAAUAAUAAUUAUCAUAAUCUUUUGAUUGUGGAAUUGGGCCUUUAUUUCAUUAAUGAUUUAUGGCCUCAAAUUUACGUUACCGCUUGUUUAAUAUGAAAUUCGACCGAAUGGAGCAAUUAAACAAUUCUCGUUAGGCGAAUUCUCAUCAAGCAAUUACGAUUUUUUGGCCGCCGAAGGACUUUUUACAAGUGCUUGGCCGAGAUCGUGAGUCAUUUUAACAAAUGACCUCAAAUCAGGCAAGAAUACCCGCUGAACUUAAGCAUAUCAAUAAGCGGAGGAAAAGAAACUAACAAGGAUUCCCCUAGUAACGGCGAGUGAAGAGGGAAGAGCUCAAAUUUUAAAUCUGCCUUGUUCCAAGGUCGAGUUGUAAUUUGAAGAAGCGUUUUCUUGGGCUCGCGGCCGGUAGAAGUUCUUUGGAACAGGACAUCAUAGAGGGUGACAAUCCCGUCCGUGACCGGUCGUGCGUUCAUCUACGAUACGCUUUCAAAGAGUCGAGUUGUUUGGGAUUGCAGCUCCAAAUGGGGGGUAAACAUCACCUAAGGCUAAAUAUUGGCGAAAGACCGAUAGCGAACAAGUACCCUGGGGGGAAAAAUGAAAAAAACUUUGAAAAAAAAGUUAAACAGUCCCUGGAAUUUGUUGAAAGGGAAACAAUUGAAUUCAUUCUUGGUUGGGCGGAAAUAAACCAUUUCUUCUUUGAGGUCCAUUGGCCGGGCGAGCCUCAAAACCGUCCCCAAACGGGGAACCUUUGGCAAAAAAGGGGCCUUUUNGGUUCCCCNUGGUUAACUCAAUUUUCCAUUCCCUUAAAAAAGGUUUGAGGGGUUUGGGCCCCCUCCAGGAAGGUUAAACCUUUUUUCGGAAAGGGGUGGGUGGGGUAUAGUGGGGCUGUCCAAAAUCCUUUCUGGAGGGU